AACCGCCCUUUAAGCCAAUCCCACAAAUCUGUUCUCAGUUCGGAUCGCAGUCUGCAACUCGACUGCGAGAAGCUGGAAUCGCUAGUAAUCGCGGAUCAGCAUGCCGCGGUGAAUACGUUCCCGGGCCUUGUAACACCGCCCGUCACACCACGAGAGUUUGUAACCCCCGAAGUCGGUGAGGUAACCUUUUAGGAGCCAGCCGCCGAAGGUGGGACACAUGAUUGGGGGGAAGUCGUAACACUGCACCCAUAGAAGUCGGUAAAACAACUGAAGGCGCGACCCUCCCUAUUAUAAAAACCAGCUUUCCGGUCUCUAACCAACCCUCCCGAAUAUAAUCCCAACCCCAUACCCAAAGGAUACAGCCGCUCACCUCUUGCUUUUCUGGCCCAACCAAUACUCUUUAUACACAUUCGUAUUAAUAUCUUCCCCUAAUACUCAAUAUCCCCCCCAUAAAUUCAAUAAUAUAAAACUCUUCCACCUUUUAACCCUAAAUUCUACCUUCUAUCUCCAUAUAAAUCAAUUCGUCACCAGUCAUAAUACAUAUUUUCCACACCUAUUAACUAUACUAUUACUCAUUCCACCGUGGUCUAACUACCCAUCUUGAAACACACACUACUCUCUUCUUAACACUUUUCCUUAUCUCUUCACAUUAGUAAAUGUCUUUCCCCCCCAUAUCCUUUUCUCUACCAACAAUUUCUCUUGAUCCUAC
rnacentral:rRNA from 1 species